rnacentral:rRNA from 1 species
AUUGAACGCUGGCGGCAGGCCUAACGCAUGCAAGUCGAGCGGAAACGAUCCUAGCUUGCUAGGAGGCGUCGAGCGGCGGACGGGUGAGUAACGCGUGAGAAUCUACCCAUGAGUGGGGGACAGCCCGGGGAAACUCGGGCUAAUACCGCAUACGCCCUACGGGGUAAAGCAGGGGACCUUCGGGCCUUGCGCUGAUGGAUGAGCUCGCGUCGGAUUAGCUUGUUGGUGAGGUAAAGGCUCACCAAGGCGACGAUCCGUAGCUGGUCUGAGAGGAUGAUCAGCCACACCGGGACUGAGACACGGCCCGGACUCCUACGGGAGGCAGCAGUGGGGAAUCUUGGACAAUGGGGGCAACCCUGAUCCAGCCAUGCCGCGUGUGUGAAGAAGGCCUUCGGGUUGUAAAGCACUUUCAGCAGGGAGGAAGGCUUACCCCUAAUACGGGUGAGUACUUGACGUUACCUGCAGAAGAAGCACCGGCUAAUUUCGUG